GCAGCAGAGCAUAUCGUCGACAUCGUCGGUCGACGCAUAUCAGUGGGCGGGUUCGUGGACUCUCCGCGUAACUAUUAAUAAAGCUCGGCUUGUCUCUUCAAGGUCGUAGUCAUGCCUUCGAAAAGAGAUAUAUAUUGUACGGGCACUGCGCGAUUUACCGAUAUAUAAAUAAGCGCAAUUUGGAAAAUAACAUGAAUUUGUUGGACAUUCGAAAGUGAUCUUUCACCAAGUAAGAAACGGGGAUCAUUGUUUUGAAAAUGGAAGAUCUCAUACGCGUGUAAAGGUCACCGUUAAGAUCGGGUUACUCAAACGGGAAGGUCUCUAUACCGUGAUGUAUCGCUGUUUAAACCGAGGAAGAUCGAUUUACGGAAUUGAUUUUAGUGAGUGAGUCUUCUCGAACAACAAAGCACACAUAUUCGUAAGACACUGUUAUUAAAUCGUAUACGAUAAAAUCACGGAUUCGACAAUUUUUGACAUUCGAUUUUGUCGAUAGAAAAAAAAAAAAAAAAGAACCAAUUGGUUGCAUAAUAUAUCUUAAUGACAACGAUUGCUUUAUCGGUAGAUGUAGCAUUGAUACUGACCAGUCGAUGUUCAAUUGUUCAGGCAAACAAAAGAAUAGCAAAAAAAAAAAAAAGAAAAAAACAGUUGCAAUGGGUAGGAUUGGUAGGCGUAUGAUCAAAAACCAAACUGUGUUAACAUAAUCGGUUGAAGUCGAUCGACAAAAUUAACGAUACGGUCAAAAUGUGUUGUGUGAAUUUACAGCAAAAUGAAUAUUUUCCGUUUGUUCUGUUUGUUUGUAAGAAAAUAAUAUUUCAGAUUAUUUCUCUCAAAUAUAUUUGUUAGCUCGUUAAAUAUAAGCCAAUAGUAUCUAUCAUUUUUUUUCUCCCUUAAUUUUUUUCCUAUAUGCACUUUUCUAACUCCGAUUAGCUUCCUGGUUAGAUUAAGUAAGGAUAGGUCGGGAGAUCGGGUUAAGCGCAUUUCUAAGACGAAAGACUCAUGUAGGGAGAGAAAGAAAAAGAGAGAGAGAGAGAGAGAGAGAGAGAGAGAGAGAAAGAGAGAGAGAGAGCCGAGAAAGAGAGAAAUCGUAACUCUCGUUUUCUCUCGGAUUUAGAGACGAAUAUAAAUCGGCGAGAGAUGGCGCCAGUAUCUUGGCGGCCAUACCAGUGUGCUACUAAAGUUGGCGUACACUCUCUGUGGGAGAGCAUCGUGAUGAAAGACAUGAAUAUGCCGGCUUUUCGUAGAUUACAAUACAUACAUACAUAUAUAUAUAUAUGUACAUAUAUAAUUUUAGUUUUGGUAAACAAACCGCAUGAGGAGUUUAUCGAAAAUAUAUAGCUAACUUUUGGAUUGAUAAAAAAGGAUUAUUAAGAAUGCUAUUGGUCACGUGAUAGCAUAAGCAUAUAAGAAGAAAAAAACAGAUUGAAGACAUAAUUCCACACACUGCCAAGAUCCACACACGCCAAAAAAAAAGAAACAAAACAAAACAAAAGAGAAUACAAUCCAAUU